rnacentral:rRNA from 1 species
AACGAACGCUGGCGGCAGGCUUAACACAUGCAAGUCGAACGGGUGUAGCAAUACAUCAGUGGCAGACGGGUGAGUAACACGUGGGAACCUUCCUAGGGGUACGGAACAACUCAGGGAAACUUGAGCUAAUACCGUAUACGUCCGUGAGGAGAAAGAUUUAUCGCCCUUAGACGGGCCCGCGUCGGAUUAGGUAGUUGGUGGGGUAACGGCCUACCAAGCCUACGAUCCGUAGCUGAUCUUAGAGGAUGAUCAGCCACACUGGGACUGAGACACGGCCCAGACUCCUACGGGAGGCAGCAGUGGGGAGUCUUGGACAAUGGGCGCAAGCCUGAUCCAGCCAUGCCGCGUGAGUGAAGAAGGCCUUAGGGUUGUAAAGCUCUUUUACCAGGGACGAUAAUGACGGUACCUGGAGAAUAAGCCCCGGCAAACUUCGUGCCAGCCGCCGCCGUAACAC